rnacentral:tRNA from 1 species
GACGGUUUGGCCGAGGGUCUAAGGCCGCCAGAUUUAGGCUCUGGUUCGAAAUGGCGUGGGUUCAAAUCCCACAAAUGUUU